rnacentral:rRNA from 1 species
UACAGAGGUCUCAAGCGUUGUUCGGAUUCAUUGGGCGUAAAGGGUGCGUAGGCGGCGGGGUAAGUCUGAUGUGAAAUCCCGGGGCUCAACCCCGGAACUGCAUUGGAUACUGCCUUGCUUGAGUACUGGAGAGGAGAUUGGAAUUUACGGUGUAGCAGUGAAAUGCGUAGAUAUCGUAAGGAAGACCAGUGGCGAAAGGCGAAUCUCUGGACAGUUACUGACGGCUGAGCACGAAGGCCAGGGGAGCAAACGGG